UUCUUGGAUACUAGUUAUCUGUAAAUGUUCUAAAGGGUGCUCUGCUGAUGAUAGGUUGGUCGUUCAGGGAGGUUUGGGCACCUUGGGUUGGCAGUGAACUUGAUUACUUACGAGGAUCGCUUUAAUUUAUAUAGGAUUGAACAAGAACUUGGAACUGAAAUAAAGCAGAUUCCACCGCAAAUUGAUCAGGCAAUUUAUUGCCGGUAAUUGGUAGUAAAUACCGGGAUUGUGUUUACAAUUGUGGCUAAUAGCAGUGGUUAGUGUGACUGUGACACAAGCAGGUGCAUGGGAGGAUUUGCUAAGCUAGUGAAUAGUGUAUUAUUGGACCCUGGCAUGAGAGGAUGCACUUUCAAAACUGGGUAUUAUUGGACCCAUUAUUGAGUGCUUUUCGAUAAAUUCUGGUUUUGAGAGCCCUGAAACAUUAUUGGAACAUUUUGAGUUUAGUUUUGGCUUUUAAUUGCCAGAUAGUGACUGGGUCCAGUUUGGGUUUCCGUUAAUUACAUUUGCAGAUUAUUGUCAUUACAUAUUUGAGUACUCUAGUUUUAUAUUAUGGUUUAGGGAUGAUAUACCUUGUUAUGAACAUGUCCCUUCCUGCAAU